UUGGUCCAAUUGAGGAAGUAAAAGUCGUAACAAGGUUUCCGUAGGUGAACCUGCGGAAGGAUCAUUAAUGAAUUUUAGGACGUUCUUUUUAGAAGUCCGACCAUUUCAUUUUCUUACACUGUGCACACACUUCUUUUUACACACACUUUUAACACAUUAGUAUAAGAAUGUAAUAGUCUCUUAAUUGAGCAUAAAUAAAAACAAAACUUUCAGCAACGGAUCUCUUGGCUCUCGCAUCGAUGAAGAACGCAGCGAAUUGCGAUAAGUAAUGUGAAUUGCAGAAUUCAGUGAAUCAUCGAAUCUUUGAACGCACCUUGCACUCUUUGGUAUUCCGAAGAGUAUGUCUGUUUGAGUGUCAUGAAACUCUCAACCCCCCUAUUUUGUAAUGAGAUGGGCGUGGGCUUGGAUUAUGGUUGUCUGUCGGCGUAAUGGCCGGCUCAACUGAAAUACACGAGCAACCCAAUUGAAAUAAACGGUUUGACUUGGCGUAAUAACUAUUUCGCUAAGGACGUUUUCUUCAAAUGUAAGAGGUGCUUCUAAUUCGCUUCUAUAGCAUUUAAGCUUUAGACCUCAAAAUCAGUCAGGACUACCCGCUGAACUUAAGCAUAUCAAAAACGG
rnacentral:rRNA from 1 species